AACGUAGGGGGCCAGCGUUGCUCGGAAUGACUGGGCGUAAAGGGUCCGUAGGCGGUGCGGCAAGUCGGAAGUGAAAUCCCGGGGCUUAACUCCGGGGCUGCUCCCGAAACUGCCGCGCUAGAGUGCGGGCGAGGGGAGUGGAAUUGCCGGUGUAGCGGUGAAAUGCGUAGAUAUCGGCAGGAACACCGGAGGCGAAGGCGGCUCCCUGGACCGCAACUGACGCUGAGGGACGAAAGCUGGGGGAGCAAACAGG
rnacentral:rRNA from 1 species